rnacentral:rRNA from 1 species
UACGUAGGGUCCGAGCGUUGUCCGGAAUUAUUGGGCGUAAAGGGCUCGUAGGCGGUUCGUCACGUCGGGAGUGAAAACUCGGGGCUUAACCCCGAGCCUGCUUCCGAUACGGGCAGACUAGAGGUAGGCAGGGGAGAGCGGAACUCCUGGUGUAGCGGUGGAAUGCGCAGAUAUCAGGAAGAACACCGGUGGCGAAGGCGGGUCUCUGGGCAGUAACUGACGCUGAGGAGCGAAAGCGUGGGGAGCGAACAGG